rnacentral:rRNA from 1 species
CAGUUAAGAAGAUUCUUCGGAUGAUUCUUAACUGACUGAGCGGCGGACGGGUGAGUAACGCGUGGGUGACCUGCCCCAUACCGGGGGAUAACAGCUGGAAACGGCUGCUAAUACCGCAUAAGCGCACAGAGCUGCAUGGCUCGGUGUGAAAAACUCCGGUGGUAUGGGAUGGGCCCGCGUCUGAUUAGGCAGUUGGCGGGGUAACGGCCCACCAAACCGACGAUCAGUAGCCGGCCUGAGAGGGCGACCGGCCACAUUGGGACUGAGACACGGCCCAAACUCCUACGGGAGGCAGCAGUGGGGAAUAUUGCACAAUGGGGGAAACCCUGAUGCAGCGACGCCGCGUGAGCGAAGAAGUAUUUCGGUAUGUAAAGCUCUAUCAGCAGGGAAGAUAAUGACGGUACCUGACUAAGAAGCCCCGGCUAACUACGUGCCAGCAGCCGCGGUAAUACGUAGGGGGCAAGCGUUAUCCGGAUUUACUGGGUGUAAAGGGAGCGUAGACGGCAAGGCAAGUCUGAUGUGAAAACCCAGGGCUUAACCCUGGGACUGCAUUGGAAACUGUCUGGCUCGAGUGCCGGAGAGGUAAGCGGAAUUCCUAGUGUAGCGGUGAAAUGCGUAGAUAUUAGGAAGAAC